rnacentral:rRNA from 1 species
UACAGAGGGUGCUAGCGUUGUUCGGAAUCAUUGGGCGUAAAGGGCGUGUAGGCGGUUUGUUAAGUCAUGUGUGAAAGCCCCGGGCUCAACCUGGGAAUUGCGAUGGAGACUGCAAGGCUUGAAUCUGGCAGAGGGGGGUAGAAUUCCACGUGUAGCAGUGAAAUGCGUAGAGAUGUGGAGGAACACCGAUGGCGAAGGCAGCCCCCUGGGUCAAGAUUGACGCUCAUGCACGAAAAGCGUGGGGGAGCAAACAGG